CCAGAAUGCAAAUCAGGAGUAGCGCCCAAAGGUGCCGGGGCUUCUCCCGUUU
rnacentral:tRNA from 1 species